ACCUUUGUAAAGAACAAGGGUUUUACAAGUCACAUUCGUGAAUUGUAAAUGAAAAGGGAAGAAAGUGCAAAGCUUUCGCUGUUCCCGCAACUGUAAACGUAUAGAGUCAUUUCUCUACAAACCACUGACAAUCGUUGGGAAGGUUGAAAUGAGCGUGAGCCAGGAGACCUGCCUUUGUUUUUUGUAGUGC
rnacentral:ncRNA from 2 species